GGGGCAUAGUUCAGUGGUAGAACGCGCGCUUCGCAUGCGUGAGGUCGGGGGUUCGAUUCCCCCUGCCUCC
rnacentral:ncRNA from 15 species